CUGAUAUAUAUGAGUAUGGUUAACAUGUGUGAGCUGAUUACUGCCACGGUCCUUGGGUCUCUCCAAGUGUUUGGCACUGAUGGACAAGUAUUUCACCCUGCAUAGCUUGUUAGUUUGACAACACUAUUUGUGCAGACAAAUGUCAUCCUGAAUCACGUUUUUAACUAUCCAGUGCAGUUAAGAUGAAUAAUGAAUUCACUUCCACAUUUUGAAAGAUAUUUGAAUUGAUUUCUUGUCUGUUUCAGAUUGCAGUUCUUCUGGAGUUAAAGGAGAGGCUAAUUUCGUAAGGAGUGCCGAUGAAAGUUACUUCAACAACAUUUAUGAAGAAGUCCAUUCGGGAGCUCCACGCCACGGCGAGAGUAUUAACUGCCCCGACGCAGGAGUUUCGAUCACGGGCUUCGAUCGUCGGCUGCGGGGGCUAUGAUUGCCCCAACUGCGGAUGGUUUGCCUGCCCCGACCGUAGAAGAACAAAGAGGAAGAAGAUUGAACUUUAUUACCUUCCAUUACAGUGAAGAAUGGGGAAUCUACUGUGGUGGAUGUUUAUGUUAAACUUUUAUGUGGUUGUGUGUCUUGUUGCUUUUCACUUAGUAUGGCUGUAUGGUAACUCAUAUUUCACUGUACCUUAACUGCUACAUGUGACAAUAACCUGACCUUGAAACUUUGAGACCUUGAAACCUUGAAGAUUUACUUAAUUUGAUUCAAUUGCACAAAAUUGAGAGGAACCCGAUAAAUAUUGUUGCAAAAUGUUGCUUAAAUUUUUGUCAUUAGAUUAAAUGAGUUCAAGAUUUCCAGAUUUCUUUUACAUUUGAACUGCAUCGAAUGAUGGCAAACUUAGCGUUGUGGAAAUAAAAGCUGGCUGGAUCUUGCAGCUGGAUACAUUACAACCCGCAGGGCUCUGCUUUGAUACAAGGACUUGCCUCCAGCAAAUUAAUGUCUACACAUGGAUCAUUAGUCAUUCUGGCAGAAUUAAUGGUAAAAAUGUGAUAUAAUGAUCAUACGCAAUCUAUUCAAAGCUUUACGCAGAAAAAUAAAAUUAUCUACUCAAGAAAUGGAACAUUGGAUGCCACUUCUAUUGGUAUAAUUGCUAACAUAGUUUUUUGUAUGUUCAAUUAUCAUAAUACUGUUUAUAAAUCCAGAUAAAUAGGAUUCACAAAUGUCAUAAAACACAGCUGACUUUGUCAUAGUUUAAAAAUCUCAUGCUAUGCAACAAGUACCCAAAGGUUGGAAUUUACUCAACUUCCCAAAAAUAAUUUACAAGCAAACAUUAAUUACAAUUAAUAACAUUUCUUGACACUGA